UCGCAGAGUAGCUGUUGACAUUAUAGUUGCGCAGGAACAUUUGUUGACUCUAGAGAACCUCGGGCAAAUCGCACAUCCCCGUGGUGGCGACUUUGCAUGCGGAUGUCAUAUCAACUUUCGAUGCCAGUUUCUGCGCCUACCAUGGUGACCACGGGUAACGGGGAAUCAGGGUUCCGUUCCAUACAGGGACCCUGAGAAAUGGCUACCACAUGCAAGGAAAGCAGCAGGCGCGCAAAUGACCCACUCCUAACGUGGGAAGGUAGUGACGA